UACAGAGGGUGCGAGCGUUAAUCGGAAUUACUGGGCGUAAAGCGCACGUAGGCGGAUUGCUAAGUCAGGGGUGAAAUCCUGGAGCUCAACUCCAGAACUGCCUUUGACACUGGCGAUUUUGAGUCCGGGAGAGGUGAGUGGAACUGCGAGUGUAGAGGUGAAAUUCGUAGAUAUUCGGAGGAACACCAGUGGCGAAGGCGGCUCACUGGUCCAUUACUGACGCUGAGGUGCGAAAGCGUGGGGAGCAAACAGG
rnacentral:rRNA from 1 species